ensembl:lncRNA
CAGCCCCAGCGGGCCGGGCCGCGCCGCCCCGCGCCGUCCUUCCCCCCCCCCCCCCCCCCUUCCCACGCCGAGCCGGACCAAGGCCCAAACUCACCUCUCUCUUCCUCGCUUUCCUCAUCCUCGCUGGUGCGGGACGGCUCUGCGGACGGGAAGCGACGGGGGGCGCUCGGCACGGCCCUAGCCGAGGGUCUGUCCCCAACCCCAUCUCCAUCCCCGUAGCCCCGCGCCGAGGUGGGACCGCGCGCUUCCCUCACCCUGACGCUGUCCGGGGAGCUCCCGCCGAGGGAGGCCCUCCUGGCGCCGAGAAGUGAAGCUGUCCCGGCCGAGAGGGUAACUGGGGAUGGAGCCACUGCUGUCAGUGUUGUAGGACAGCCUCUCAGCACCACAAUGCGUACAGUCUGAGGCCAGAAGUCCCCCAGAAUGCUGGAAAAAUGCCUUUGGAAAUCUUCCCAUCAUCCAGACACCAUUAAACCAGCAAAUGGGGAUUUUUCUGAGGAGCACCUUUAAUCUGAAGUUGCUGUCAAGCAUCAUCCACCUGCUUUGAGUUUCUCUCAGAGACAGUUUUCACCUCACCUAGACCAAUUAUGCCAACACAAUUCAUAAUUCUGGAAUAUGAAUAAAGUCAUGUAUUUAAAUACGGUGAAUAAUGCAGCUCUGAUAAGCUUUCUGCCAAAUUACACUGUAUGGAAACUGUUGAGUCAUGGCCUGAACCACUGAUUGAUCACCUGAGAUAAGGACUGGGUCAGCCCUGAGAGCACAGGUGAAGGCAGUUCAGCUGUGUGACCGGAAGUGGCUCCUAGACCCCAUUUAAGGGCUGAGGAAGGAUCUCUUUCUGGAGAUCUCUCCCUUUUGGAGUUUUCCACUGUGAGUCUAGAUCCUUGGAUACGAGUAAGCAUUUCUUCUUUGAUUCUCUCUUUUCUACCACGACAAUCUUUCCUACUAUAACACCUGCAAAGUACCAUCCUAACCGCACUACUCUUCCAACUGUACAUUUGUUGACUGUACAGACGCACAGAUCAGAGGCAGCCCAAAGGAAACUCUUCCACCUGGCUGCUCCCUGGACAGUUCUCAAAGCAAACAUUCAAGUGAUCUUUUCACAAAUGACCCACAACAGCUCUUUUACUUAUGGUAAAUGUCCAGUCAAGCUGUGAGCGGAUACACGUUCUGUCAGGUGUAACACUUAAAAUUGGUAUAUCAGGUUUCCUUGAAGAAUCAUCGAGUCAUUUACAGUUUUAAGUUAUUAAUCAGUGUUUCAUUAUUCCUCUCUUUUCAUCUGGAUAAAAUAAGGCUCACUUUAUUUGAAGCUAUGACAGGAAGCUGUGUCAUAAUGGGAACAAAACCAGUAGGACACCUUUGUUCUGCUGAAAGUCAGGCACAUGGUCCAAUGACUUCAAAACUUAACCUUUUCACUCCCAGCCUUUGAUUCCCAGCCUGUGUGUCCUAGUGACAGACAGAGGCGUCACUAUUUCCACUGCAGAUAUGUGAUACAGACUUCUGGAUAUGACAUGGUGAUUUCUGACUGUCAGCUAUUAAAAAAGAGAAUAUGUGAUGUAUCUCCUGAUGAAACCUUAGGAAUCUUGUCCCACCCAAAUGAUUCGUGAUUCUACGGUUUUAUGAUUAAGUGAUUCCGUGGUUCUAUGAUUCCAUGAGUUGUUGCUUCUGUGAUUCCAUGACCCCAUUAAUUGGAGAUUUCAUUAUUCUAAAAGUUGGGGUCUUUUGGUUUUGCAGAAAUAAACAACAAGGAAGCCUAGCUGCCAUAGCCAAGGUUUGUUAUUCACUCCUGAACUCCUCUGUGGGGAUAAGGGCACUGAGGGGACACAGCCUGACCACUGCCUUCCAGUAACACAGUGGCCCAUCCCUGCAACUCCAGGUCCCUGUCACCAACCUGUUCAUGUGUGUCGUAUCUCCAUGAUGUCCCCAUGAUGCCCUCAUGUCAGCUUUAUGUUCCCAUGGUUUCCAUGAUGUCCCUGCAUCUCCAUGAUGCCCCUUUUUCCCUAUAUCCGUGCAGCCAGGGGAUGUCAGGCACUGGGACAUGGUGGCUUUGAGUCUGGGUGCCAUCAGGAUCCCAGUGCUCAGUGCCUGUUCCCUCAACCUUGGCUCCUUCCCAUACUCAGGGGCGGGGGCUGGCUGCAUGCUGGGUUCAGCCCAUGCCAGGGGGGCUCUGCAAAGCCCAGGGGCAUUUGGGGAGCUGGGAGGAGCCCUGGGAGGAUAAAUGCAGCCCUAGCCUCCUGCAGCCUCACUCAGCUCCUAUGGAGGAAGAAGGUAGCCAUGCUCCACCUCACGCUGCUCCUGCAUGUGCCUCCAUGUACAUGCUCAAGUGUGGGGAUAAGGGCUCAGUGACAAUGGCUGGCUGGGGACCUCCUCCUCCUUUGGUGCCCUCAAUUCCCUUUCUUUGGGUUCUCUCUGUUCCCUUGGUUCCCUCUCUUUGGGUCCUCUUGGUUCCUUCUCCUUGAGUCCUUUCUCUUUGGGUGCCCUCUGUUCCCCCUCCUUGGGUCCUUCUUAUUCCCUUUUUCUGGGUCUCCUAGGGUUCUUCUCUUUGGGUUACAUUGUUUUGUUCUCUUUGGAUCUCCACUGUCUCCUCCCCUUGGAUCCUCUCAGUUUCUUGUUCUUGGGUCCCCUCGGUUUCUUCUUUGGGUCCCCACCUCCUGGUCUCCACCUCCCCUCCAGGUCCCUGCAUUCCAAAGAUUCCAGAUGACAACUAGGAGCAAUUGAGUCUAUGAAGACGAGCAGGGAUUUUCCCUCAGUCCAGGGGAGGGCCAUAUGGGGGUGGAGGUCAAUGGGGAUGCCCACGGGGAUACAAUUUUCCAUGAAUUCCAACCCAAUCUGUCCUUCAUCCUCCUUCCCCAGCUCCUGGACAAUUUUGAGGUGAGAGCAAGUGAAGCUUUUGAUGCAGGAGUGAGUUCUGGGAUGCCCUCAGGGUACAGCCAAUUUGGGGAACUCUGAACCCUCUGUGGGCUCUGAGCACAUCCUGGUGCCCACUGAAGUCUCCCCAUUUCUCCCUCUACCUGCAACCCACGGUCGUGGGUCUUCUUACCUAGGUGAGAGACGGUGGUGGUCCCCUGACCCCAAAAGAGUCCUGGGCUUCAGGGGGACCUCAAAGAGCUCUGGGUUGGGAGGCACAGAGGGAAUCAUCCAUGAUCCAAGGAUAGCACUGUCUCUACGUGGUGCAGAAUGGCACAUAGGUGUGACCCCUGUGCUGUCCCCUCUCUGUUGCAUGAAAAUUUGACCAUCCCUAGAUGUCCCCACCAGAUCCUCUAGAGGACAUAGCCCAUUUUCCCACAAUAAACACCAAUAAAGCCCCUCAGCAAAGCUCCUGUGCUCAUGUCCCUGUAUUUCUGUGUCCAUAUGUCCCUUUGUCCUUGUGUAAGUCUGUCCCCCAUUGUCCCUGCAGUAACCAUGGUGUCCAUACGGUAUGCCUAUUAUUCCUAUAGUGACACCGUUACAUUAUCCCUGCAGUAACUCCAUUAUUCCACGACUCUGUAACAUUCAUUUGGAUCGAGGUGUGGAGAUGGCACUGGGUUGGCACCGAGGGUGACACAGCCCCUCAGUGGGUGGUACCGGGAGACACUAAGAGUGACAUAAUCCCUCAAGGGGUGGCACUCGGUGUCCUCCGGAGCCCUCAGCACAAUUUCAGACUCCUUCCAGUGCGAUUCCUAACGCUUCCACCCCAUCAUGCCCGCCCUGCGGGGUACCUGCAGCCUCUCCCCCACGACCAGAUUUGCCCUCUCGGCCACACCUCCCGCCCACCUUCCCAGCCAAUGGCAGCCAUCACCCAGCAAAUGGCAGUGCAUCUAGCCAAUGAGAGCUUGCGAUGGCAGCGGGAUGAAGGCACAGAGAGAACGGCCACGCUCUCUCCCUUUCCUCCCCCUGGGUGCAAUGGACAAAAUGGCAGCGUCAGUUGCCUAGCAAUAGCGCUUGGGCCCACCAGGAGGCUCUAAACCCCAUUCGGGCCUAACUCAACCCCACAGUCCUCAUCCUAAUCUCCUACCUGGACCCUACAGUGGGGAUGUAGGAAUGGAAUGUUGUUUCUGCAUUAGAUACUGAAAAGGGGGAAUUGAUCUGAAGAAGUAGAGCAUAAUCUAUUUGUAUUUUGUAACUUGUCCUUAGAAAUGGCUGAUGUGAAAAGGUAGAAAUACCAUAUAUGCUAGUAGCAUAUUUUAGAAGUAUAGUUGCUGAAUUAUGUGAUUAAUUCUUGCUUGCAAAACCGCAAUAGUAUUAUGGACUAGAAAGCAUAUUGUAGGGCUAUUCUGUUUAAAUAAGAGACCUUCAGUAAAAGAAAAAGACUUAAAAAACAUCAAAGAAGCCAGGGGCUCUACACAAGGUUGGAUUGCCUCGCUCUGUGGAUAGGUUGGGAUGCAACAGGAAGACAUCAAGAUACUCCCCUCUAUCCUCCUUCCAAACUUAUCUCUAGGCAAGGACGAGCAGAUGUCCAGGAACAAUGACUGAAUGUUGAAUGAUCAAGUGUGAGAAGUUAAUUAAUUAGCAAUAUAUGCUCAACUAGCAACAAUUUAUGAGUAGCUGAAUGUUGGGAAGAUUGUGAACCUGAAGUACUCAGCCAAUGAGGACCCAGGGGAGAAAGAGAUAAGUGUCGAGUAAUAGGGCAUAAAAGAUGUAAAGCUGUUUUCUGUGUGCUCUCUGGCUUGCAGGAAGCCUGCCAUUGCAAUUGCGAAUAAAAUCUGCUUUAUCAGAGAUACUAUCCUGAUAAAUUAUUUGGAUAUUUCCAACAAUUUGGGGGCUCAUCUGGGAUUAUUAUGGCCUCUUUGGGGGUCCCCCUACUUCUCUGGAUAGGAUAGGUGCUGAUUCUAGUGGUCCUGUCUGGGUGGUGAGGUAACUCUUUGGGAUGGCCUAUAUGAAACCGAGACUGUUACAUAAAGGACGGAUCUGUGAAGGCCAAGGGGCAGGUAGGCACGGGUGUUGACCCCUGCAGACCUGGUAACCUUGUGCACGGACCAAGGUAAGGGAAUUUACUUCUUGCCUUGAGGGUCAGUUGAGACUCGAGUGAGUG